rnacentral:tRNA from 1 species
GACGAUGUAGCUCAGUUGGUUAGAGCGGUGGAAUCAUAAUCCAUAGGUCGCAGGUUCGAACCCUGCUAUCGUUA